AUUGAACGCUGGCGGAAUGCUUUACACAUGCAAGUCGAACGGCAGCACGGACAUCGGUCUGGUGGCGAGUGGCGAACGGGUGAGUAAUAUAUCGGAACGUGCCCAGUCGUGGGGGAUAACGUAGUGAAAAUUACGCUAAUACCGCAUACGAUCUAAGGAUGAAAGCGGGGGAUCGCAAGACCUCGCGCGAUUGGAGCGGCCGAUAUCAGAUUAGGUAGUUGGUAGGGUAAAGGCCUACCAAGCCAACGAUCUGUAGCUGGUCUGAGAGGACGACCAGCCACACUGGAACUGAGACACGGUCCAGACUCCUACGGGAGGCAGCAGUGGGGAAUUUUGGACAAUGGGCGAAAGCCUGAUCCAGCCAUUCCGCGUGCAGGAUGAAGGCCCUCGGGUUGUAAACUGCUUUUGUACAGAACGAAAAGGUUUCUAUUAAUACUAGGAGCUCAUGACGG
rnacentral:rRNA from 1 species